UAUCACUAAGCGGAGGAAAAGAAACUAACCAGGAUUCCCUCAGUAGCGGCGAGUGAAGCGGGAAGAGCCCAUCGCCGAAUCCCCGGCCCCUGCGGGCCCCGGGAGCUGUGGCGUGAGGCUGCUUCGGGCGCGAGAGUCCGCGGCGCCGAGGUCCUCCUUGAUAGGGGUUCCUUUCCCAGGGCGGGUGUCAGGCCCGUUCGGGCGCCGGGACUCGAGUGUGCCUGGAGCCGCCGAGAGUCGGGUAGUUUGGGAAUGCUGCCCAAAGAGGGGUGGUGAACUCCAUCCAAGGCUAAAUACCGGCACGAGAUCGAUAGAAGACAAGUACCGUGAGGGAAAGUUGAAAAGUACAUCUGAAGAGAGCAGUUCAAGAGGACGUGAAACCGCCAAGAAGUAAACGGGCAGGAACCAGCGUCACGGGUCCGCGGAGACUCAGCCGCGCUGGCUCCCCGUCUCGCCCCCGUCACCGGAUCCGCGAGGACCGGUGCGGGGCCGGCGUCGGGGGACCUCGCGUGCACUUCUCCCGGACGCGGCGCUCGGGACCGGCGAUCUCGCAGCACGGGCGAAGGCACCUUCGCAGGUAGCUCCGCGGACCGGCCCCCUCGGGACUCCCGCGGAGAACAAACAGCGUCGGUCGCAACCCCGUCCGGGUCGCCGAAGAAGGGACGCCGAGCCGCGCCCGCCUCACCUCGAGGCUGCGCCUCCCGGACCCCCGCAGCCCUCCCCGGCGUUCGCUGUUCCCAGCGGCCGCCGAGGGACGGGAGGCGGCGGGAGCGGAGAGGUGGCACGCGGCGCCUCGGGUCGCCGAGCGAAGCAGGGCGCCUGUCCGACCCGUCUUGAAACACGGACCAAGGAGUCUAACGGGCCCGCGAGUCAGGGGGCCGCCCGAACCCCCCAGGGCGAAAAUGAAGGUGAAGGUCGGCUCGGCCGACCGAGGUGGGAUCCCGCCCCCUUCCCGGGGCGGGCGCACCACCGCCCCGCCACGUCCGCUCCGUUCGGUGUGGCGGAGGCAGAGCGGGCACGAUAGGACCCGAAAGAUGGUGAACUAUGCCCGAGCAGGGCGAAGCCAGAGGAAACUCUGGUGGAGGACCGCAGCGAUUCUGACGUGCAAAUCGAUCGUCCGACUCGGGUAUAGGGGCGAAAGACUAAUCGAACCAUCUAGUAGCUGGUUCCCUCCGAAGUUUCCCUCAGGAUAGCGGCGGACACAACUCAGUAUAGGUAGUACA
rnacentral:rRNA from 1 species